UGUUAACCACAAAGCGGAUAACAUGGCGGCUCUUCGCAUUUCCUUCUACCUUCCAAUCAAAAGCUAUCGAAGCUCCCCAAUCACUUUCAACCCCAUCUACCAGUUUCCCACCUGGAGCCAACGGGUGACAGAGACCAAUGUUGUCAACUGGGCUCUCUUUGUUUUCACUACCGCGCGCUCCGAUCCUCUGUUCUCCCCUGCAUCCCACUGAAACCCCUCCAAAAUCUCAUCCCUUUUCCCAGUUUUCAUCUACUCCCACCAAAAAAAUGGCGGCCACAACGCCUAUUGCGAUAACGACUAGCUUCGGGCUCAAGAAUUUGAUGGAGACAUUCACAGUUGAUGUGCAGAGAGCAGAGAAUAGACCACUGAAUGUCCCUUUGAUUGCGCCUUUUACGAUUUCAUCGUCGAGGCUUGAGAGGGUUGAGAAUGUGGCAAUUAGAAUUGAGCUGAGAAAUGGGUGUGUGGGGUGGGGUGAGGCUCCAAUUUUGCCUUUUGUGACGGUAGAGGAUCAGAGUACGGCUAUGUCAAAGGCGGCGGAGGCAUGUGAAUUUCUAAAGCGGAGUCCGGCAAUGACGAUGGGAUUGUUGUUGGCGGAGAUUGAUGGGAUUCUUCCAGGACAUGAGUUUGCUUCAGUUAGGGCAGGAGUUGAAAUGGCAGUGAUAGAUGCAGUUGCUACUAGCAUAGGCGUGCCUCUGUGGAGACUAUUUGGGGGAGUUUCAAACACCAUAACAACUGAUAUAACAAUUCCAAUUGUUUCUCCAGCUGAAGCUGCAGAAUUGGCUGCAAAGUAUUACAAUCAAGGAUUCAAUACUUUGAAGCUUAAGGUAGGAAAGAAUCUGAAAGCAGAUAUAGAAGUUCUUCAGGCCAUACGUGGUGCACAUCCUGAAUGUUUGUUUAUCUUGGAUGCUAAUGAGGGAUACAAACCAACAGAAGCAAUUGAAGUUCUUGAAAAAUUACAUGAAAUGGGGGUCACUCCUGUUCUUUUUGAACAACCUGUUCAUAGAGAUGAUUGGGAGGGUCUCGGUCAUGUUAAUCGUAUUGCUAAAAACAAAUAUGGAGUAUCUGUUGCCGCUGAUGAAAGCUGUCGGAGCUUAGUUGAUGUCAAGAAAAUAGUCCGAGGAAAUCUUGCAGAUGUCGUUAACAUUAAACUUGCCAAAGUUGGGGUAGUGGGGGCCCUUGAGAUUAUUGAGAUUGCAAGAGCAUCAGGAUUGCAUCUGAUGAUUGGUGGUAUGGUUGAGACUAGACUGGCCAUGGGCUUUGCUGGCCAUCUUGCUGCUGGCCUUGGGUGUUUCAAGUUUGUUGACCUAGACACACCCCUUUUGCUAUCCGAGGAUCCAGUUCUUGAGGGUUACGAGGUCUCGGGUGCUGUUUACAAGUUCACGAAUGCUCGAGGCCAUGGUGGUUUUCUUCAUUGGGACAAUAUUGCUUGAACUACAACUUUCGUUGCUUCCUUACCUCUGGAACUAUGAGUGGAGCUUGUAAGUUUCUGUUGUUUUUGAACCAUGCCCCCAAAAACCUGGCAGAUCUCCAUUUGAUAAGAUGCUUUCUGAUAAAUGAGAAACAAGGCAGGACUGAUCUCUGCUUAAAUUAUUGUGUUUUCAGGUGAGACGUAUGAUAAAAGAUUGAAAUAAUUUUCAUUUGAGCAGUGUGCUACACCCGCUGAGGGUGUACCACGAGAUGGGUCCCAAUAAGAGCAAAAGUUUUUUUAUUUUUUGAAUUUUUUUCAUUCAUUUUUUUAAUAUCCUUAAACAUUUUUUUUAAAUUCACAAUAUCAUUAAAAAACACUUCCUUAAUCACUAAGUUAAAAAAAAAUUUAAAAAAAAAAUUGUCGGGACCAAACAAUCAGUGAGAGUAGAUUUGCUGCUUUUCAUUUUAGCAAAUCACUUCACCUUGUGUGAAUAGUUGUUUUUGUUAUCAUUGGAAUUCGGAAAGAAAUUGUUUCCAGCAUUAUCAGACAAGUUUUGUACUUGCUAACUGAAAGACUGCAUCAUCAUAUGAGAUAUCCAUGUAAAUGAUCAUAAAUGAGUUAUGAAUAUCUCCUUACAUUUCA